AUGUAUGUUUGACCAUGUUUUAGAAAAAUAUAUAAAUAUCCACAACACGAAAAUUAUAUCAGUAUGUAACAGAAAUAAAUUGUCAUUUUUCUAAAUGAUUAAAAUUAAGUUUUCCUGCAUUUCAUUUGGAGGAAAUUAUUUUGGCCCUUGGCGCUCCUAUUUUUCUUUGCUAGAAAAUAUCUCCCUGUGUAUAUUCUCUCUCACCCACGCCGCCAUCUCCCCAGUUAUCUCCUUCAACCUCCAAAUCCAUCUAAUGGGAUCCCUCGCUGGCCGGUGAUGUGCAUCGCCUCCACACAGGAGCGGCGAUAGAUUCGUUUGGUGGCGGACUGAGGGAGACUCGGUGGGCGGCGAGCGAUUGGAUGCGGCGGAGGUUGGGGGACAGAGACCGGCCGGCGGUUGCCCCGGGGGCGGCGGCGGCCAUUGGGCGGAAGAUCGGAGGAAGCAUCUGCUGCGACGUACAACUUUGUCUUCAACCUAUAGGUGGAAUAUGCAGAGCAAUCACGGAAGUACAUCUGUGCCGCCUAGGGUAGCCACCCCAAAUUCGUCGUACAUACAGUUUGGGCGUACAUACAGUUUGUAUGUUCGCUCGGUUUGAUUGCUUCUCGGUUGGGUUGCUUGUUGUUUACAGAUCGUGGGGAGAGAUGAAAAACUAUCAGCCUGGACGGCGCUCGUCGUGUCCGGCGACAACCUGUUGCGUGGCAAUGACGGCUUUGCGGGGCGGCAGUGUUGGCACCAGGCGCCGGCGACCACCUUUGGCUCCGCUCCUUGUCACCGUUUUUCCAUCCGUCCUCGCGCGUUGCCCUCGCGGCAAAACUCUAGACAUCAGGUGGGGAUUGGUGACCAUCGGCGUUGUUGCCUUGGAGCUACCAGCUAACGAUUCCACCUCUGACGUUUCAUGCCCGAGUGCUAUUUAUUGGACUCACUCCACUUGAUCUCAAGUGAUGCGAUCAUACAGGGGAGAACAUUUCGAAGGAAUCAUGGACUAGAGGUGUAAGGUUACAUGACAAGCUAUUUUGCUCAUGCAGUUUGAUGAAAAAAUUCAUGAAAUCCACUUCCCUGUUUAUUUGGCUCAUGAUUAAUGUUUUUUAACAUCCAAAUGUUGGCUAGCAAUUGAUAUUCUAUGAUUAAACAUGUCAUAAUCCAUUGAUUUAUGGUCACUGUUACAUUUGAUAAUUUAUAAUCACAUAAAUGAACUUAAA